rnacentral:rRNA from 1 species
UACGUAGGAGGCAAGCGUUGUCCGGAAUCACUGGGCGUAAAGCGCGUGUAGGCGGUUCGGUAGGUCCGUUGUGAAAACUCGGGGCUUAACCCCGGGCCUGCAGUGGGUACGGGCAGACUAGAGUGCGGUAGGGGAGACUGGAAUUCCUGGUGUAGCGGUGGAAUGCGCAGAUAUCAGGAGGAACACCGGUGGCGAAGGCGGGUCUCUGGGCCGUUACUGACGCUGAGGAGCGAAAGCGUGGGGAGCGAACAGG